rnacentral:rRNA from 1 species
UACGAAGGGGACUAGCGUUGUUCGGAAUCACUGGGCGUAAAGCGCACGUAGGCGGAUAUGUCAGUCAGGGGUGAAAUCCCCAGCUUAACCUGGGAACUGCGUCGGAUACUGGAUGGCUUGAAUUCGGGAGAGGAAUGCAGAAUUCCAGGUGUAGCGGUGAAAUGCGUAGAUAUCUGGAGGAAUACCGGUGGCGAAGGCGGCAUUCUGGACCGACAUUGACACUAAAGCGCGAAAGCCAGGGGAGCAAACGGGG